CAGUAGCCGCGGGAAUACGUAGGGUGCAAGCGUUAAUCGGAAUUACUGGGCGUAAAGCGUGCGCAGGCGGUUAUAUAAGACAGAUGUGAAAUCCCCGGGCUCAACCUGGGAACUGCAUUUGUGACUGUAUAGCUAGAGUACGGCAGAGGGGGAUGGAAUUCCGCGUGUAGCAGUGAAAUGCGUAGAUAUGCGGAGGAACACCGAUGGCGAAGGCAAUCCCCUGGGCCUGUACUGACGCUCAUGCACGAAAGCGUGGGGAGCAAACAGGAUUAGAGACCCCAGUAGUCCCUGUCUCUUAUAC
rnacentral:rRNA from 1 species